GAUGAACGCUGGCGGCGUGCCUAAUACAUGCAAGUCGAGCGAACGGACGAGAAGCUUGCUUCUCUGAUGUUAGCGGCGGACGGGUGAGUAACACGUGGAUAACCUACCUAUAAGACUGGGAUAACUUCGGGAAACCGGAGCUAAUACCGGAUAAUAUUUUGAACCGCAUGGUUCAAAAGUGAAAGACGGUCUUGCUGUCACUUAUAGAUGGAUCCGCGCUGCAUUAGCUAGUUGGUAAGGUAACGGCUUACCAAGGCAACGAUGCAUAGCCGACCUGAGAGGGUGAUCGGCCACACUGGAACUGAGACACGGUCCAGACUCCUACGGGAGGCAGCAGUAGGGAAUCUUCCGCAAUGGGCGAAAGCCUGACGGAGCAACGCCGCGUGAGUGAUGAAGGUCUUCGGAUCGUAAAACUCUGUUAUUAGGGAAGAACAUAUGUGUAAGUAACUGUGCACAUCUUGACGGUACCUAAUCAGAAAGCCACGGAUAACUACGUG
rnacentral:rRNA from 1 species